AACGAACGCUGGCGGCAGGCCUAACACAUGCAAGUCGAACGCCCUAGCAAUAGGGAGUGGCAGACGGGUGAGUAACACGUGGGAACCUUCCCUAUUGUACGGAAUAGCCCAGGGAAACUUGGAGUAAUACCGUAUACGCCCGAGAGGGGAAAGAUUUAUCGCUAUAGGAUGGGCCCGCGUCGGAUUAGCUAGUUGGUGAGGUAAUGGCUCACCAAGGCAACGAUCCGUAGCUGGUUUGAGAGAAUGACCAGCCACACUGGGACUGAGACACGGCCCAGACUCCUACGGGAGGCAGCAGUGGGGAAUCUUGGACAAUGGGCGCAAGCCUGAUCCAGCCAUGCCGCGUGAGUGAUGAAGGCCUUAGGGUUGUAAAGCUCUUUUGUCGGGGACGAUAAUGACGGUACCCGAAGAAUAAGCUCCGGCUAACUUCGUGCCAGCAGCCGCAGUAA
rnacentral:rRNA from 1 species